UACAGAGGGGGCGAGCGUUAUUCGGAAUUAUUGGGCGUAAAGGGCGCGUAGGCGGCCGAGCAAGUCUUGGGUGAAAUCCCUCGGCUCAACCGAGGAACUGCCUUGGAAACUGCUUGGCUUGAGGCCGGGAGAGGGUGGUGGAAUUCCCAGUGUAGCGGUGAAAUGCGUAGAUAUUGGGAGGAACACCAGUGGCGAAGGCGGCCACCUGGACCGGUCCUGACGCUGAGGCGCGAAAGCGUGGGGAGCAAACAGGAUUAGAUACCCGUGUAGU
rnacentral:rRNA from 1 species